AGGAACCCAGGCAUAUCUGAAAAGAUUGGCUUGACAUCCCAGUAAACACGCUAUCUCUCUCUCUCUCUGUCUCCACCAUCAAGCCAGGAUGAGGUCGUUGUACAAGAUGCUACUACUUUCGCUUGCCCUUGUAGCGCUGCUAUCCUCAGAUCUGACGAUCCAGGCGACGGCUAAUGGUGGCGGCUCGCUAAUCCCUGAAGACUGCCGGCAGACCCUUGUCAUCCGUGGGCCCUGUAACCCCAAGGCUUGUCAACGCAACUGUCAAACCAACGUCGGCCCCGGUGCCGUUGGCGACUGUGAUGCCGGUGGAUGCCGGUGCACAUACUGUACUCCAUCUCAGUGGAAUUAAGCAGUGAUUGUUGCUUAAUUGCUCCCCGUUCCGAUAAUAUGCAAAAUCUUAGUUUUUUCUUCUGUCUGGCUACCUGUCAAAUACUCCUACUUGGAAACUCAAAUCAGGAAUGUCAGAAAUUUGAUCGAUUCUA